GUAAUUACCACUUAAGAAGGGAUAUGUAUAUUCAAGAGGAGAGCUUUGUGCCCUGCAGCUCUGUUAACCUGCUCCUCUCUUCUAUGUAAAGACUGUCUUUCAUGGGGGGCUGGGGGAAGCCUGUAGAUUUUAAACCAGUGCGAGAAUGUAGACGGGCGUAUUCCCAACAGAUCUGGGGGAGAAUUCCGACCUGCUGGAUUCCUCAGCUGAGCUAACUGCUCUAGCACUGCGCUCUCACCUCAGAACCGUAACCGGUUAACCGGCCUGCAUGACUCAGACGCACAGGCCGCAGGAGGGGUGGGCGGCCAGCCUGGGGACUGAAGAGAUCUUGACAAUCUGAGAAGCAACCAAGCACGGAAGGAAAGACAGUCUUGGUUUCCACAGGAGAGGUUCUGAAGGAGCUCGACUAAGCACCCGCUUUCCCCGCAAAGGGCCGAAGAGUGUGCCCAGUGCGUGUCCCCACCCAGCCCUCCAGGAAGUGGCUGCUGCCCACACUCGUGCGCGUGUUACUUCCUUGCCCCCUGGGGUGCUUGCAGCAACCCUCAGCCCACUGCAGGAACGAGCAAGGCCGGCUUGCUCAGAGGUUGCCAAACAGCACCCUGAGAAACACCGGGUCCCCCAGGGUUGCAUCCUAAGAACCCCAGGUCCCCCAGGUGGCACCCUAAGAACCCCCUGGCCCCAAGGUUGGCUUGAAUUAUUUUUUUACUCUCAUGAGACAGCAUAACGUCACACUCCCUGUGUCCACUGCCAGUCUCUGUGCUCUGCAGGCCUCAGAUGAAAGCUUGUGUCUCCAUCCACAUUUCCGCACCCCCUGGAAGCCAGACGCUGACUAGGAGCUCACAGUUUGGUCCUGGCCCUUCCUAGCCAUGCCGCUAACCACAGGCCUGAGUCCAGCGGGAAGAAGCAGAGGUUGCAGGCUCCGGCUCUGCCCAGCUGCCCCUCCCACCCAGACCCUGGGGAGAAGAGCAGCAAAUAGUUCCCCGGAAGUCAGAUCCCUGAGGGUGCCCAUCACGACUUACAAAAGAUGAAGCCCGACCUUCCACAGGGUUCUGAGGGGAAGCCAGGCAAAGACAAAGGAAUGCAGACCCAGGAGGCCGAGAGCGGCCCACAGCUUACUCUCCCUGCGCAUCCCAGCUGCUGCUACCCGACCCUUAUAAGUCACAUGUCUCAUCAAGAAACUUGGGCAGCUGGAUAAUCUAUUGAUGAUUAAGAUAAAGCUUUCUGCCAAGCUUUUCAGGCUCCAGGAUUCAUUUUAAGUGGAGAACCCCGUUCUGCAAAAGAAAGCCACAGAACUUGAUGAUAGCAGCCCCCACCCCUGCUACGGUUUGCCUGGGAGUCAGGACUGCCUUGGUCCUCCCUACCAGAACCAAAAGGAGGGCUGGGUUGGCCAGCGAGGCUGCUCCGGGCUCUCAGCCUUGCCCAGGUGGCCGCUGUGGGUUCAGCUGGGCACCGGCGCCCAUCUUCAUGGGCUUUAUGUAAGAACAAAGGUUUUGAAUUAGAACAUGCACAAUUACAUACAUUGAUUGACAGACUUCUCUUUCUGAUAUCGGGGCUCUUGUGUGUAUCCGUUUGGUUACAUAAAAGAUUCUAUUAAAAAGAAGUUUGUAAACCGCUAAUCUGCAAUUCUAUUGCAUGAUUUGUAGUUGAGAAAGCUGGCGCCACAGGGUGGGGUGACCGGCCAGAUGUGGCUCCAGUUUCCUUCUCCAUGUCACAUGCCCCUCCUCCUCCUCUAGACUCAUU
ensembl:lncRNA